UCGAUGAAGAACGCAGCGAAAUGCGAUAAGUAAUGUGAAUUGCAGAAUUCAGUGAAUCAUCGAAUCUUUGAACGCACCUUGCGCUCCAUGGUAUUCCAUGGAGCAUGCCUGUUUGAGUGUCACGUGAAACUAUCACUCUUGUCCUGUCGCAAGACAAGUCAGGAUGUGGACUUGGACUGUGCCGUAGUUGGCUCGUCUUGAAAUGCAUUAGCCGUGCUGGUUAGAUUCGGCCACCUGGUGUGAUAUAUGUCUACGCCUACCGUGCUGUUUCUUCCUGAGUGUGGCUUAUAAUCGUCGCUUGUUCGACAAUACAAAUUAACGCUCUGGCCUCAAAUCAGGUAGGACUACCCGCUGAACUUAA
rnacentral:rRNA from 1 species